rnacentral:rRNA from 1 species
CCCUUAGAUGUCCUGGGCCGCACGCGCGCUACACUGAUGCAUGCAACGAGUUUAUAACCUUGGCCUGAAAGGCCUGGGUAAUCUUUUGAACGUGCAUCGUGAUAGGGAUAGAUUAUUGCAAUUAUUAAUCUUGAACGAGGAAUUCCUAGUAAACGCGAGUCAUCAGCUCGCAUUGAUUACGUCCCUGCCCUUUGUACACACCGCCCGUCGCACCUACCGAUUGAAUGGUUCGGUGAAGAUUUCGGACUAUAGUAUUUAUCCUUCAUUGGAUUUGUAUUGCGGGAAGUUAUCUAAACCUCAUCAUUUAGAGGAAGGUGAAGUCGUAACA